GAGUCAAUGACCAUUCAAGGUAGAGAUUGAAUGAAGAUUGAAGUCAUAGUGCCAUCUUAUCUCUGGAGGUGGUCUAAUCUUGUUAGACCCAUUAAUGGGUGCUUGACUAUGAUUCGAGGAGAAGAGGUUAGGUCUGAUGAUAGGCAAUCCUCAUCAUAGUUAGAGUUUUAAGAAGAGAGAGAAUGAAAAAUCUCUUCUCAUAAGAUGACAUUUCUCACAUUUCAAGAAAAGCAGAAACUCACAAAGGAGAUAGGUUUUAGA
rnacentral:lncRNA from 1 species